UUUGUCACAAGGUGUGAUUUAUAUUUUUAAAUAAUGUUUCAAUUUUUGUAUUCAUCAUUGGGUUUGUUCAAGUCAAGGAGUAAUAUAUAGACUUUCUUUUUUUUUUUGCUUUUUUAUUAUAAAACCCCCACAGCACCGAGAGUGUAGUAAGUUAUUCAAAGAAAGCAUGCAGAGAGUAGUGUUAUGUAAAUUAAAUCAAUGCUUGAGUGAUUUUGGGUUUCCAGGCAUACCCAGGUAUGUGUGCUGAUAGGCACUACCAUCUCAGCCUGUGUGGUGUAAGCAUGGGUAGUCAACCUGUGUGGUGCUGUUCAUAAUACUGCGUGUAUUGUACAUAGGGCGUGGCCCUCAAGGCAAGCCAGAGCCAGUUCUCCAAAACUGGCUUUCCCUGUGGGAAUAGAGAAUUCUUAGGUUCUUGGUGAACCAGAUAGUUCUGUGCGAACAAGAUUUACCAACUCCCAAGACUCACGGUCUACCGGGAGAGUCCGGAGGAAUAUUCGGAACCGAGUCCUGUGUGGACCGUCAAGCAUCAAGCCAUAUUCCAAGGCCCAGAGAAGUCACCCAAGUUCCCCAAGCCCGGAGUUUCUCCGCCUUAUUGGGACCGUCAAAACGCCGGAGGGAUAUUGUGUGUGACUGGUACUCCAAAUCGACCACCCGUGUCACAAGUGUGGACUUUGAACGCAGCAAGUCCUUCAAAAGGGUUUGAACAGUGACUGUUUAGGGGUUUGAUUACAUUUGUUUUGGGGUAUUGGAAACGGCCGUAUAACACUUAAUGCAGGAUCCUUAUAAUGCCAUGAUAUAGUUGAGUAUCCGUCACCCAAAGUAUAAGUAAUCCAUAUAGUGGCAUAAUUCAAUUGAAAUAAUUUGUACAUAGUAAAUUUCCGUUUGUUUAAUAUAUUUAUUUGUCGUAAUUAAAUAGUAUUUUGUCUUGAUCAUACA